UCCUUUGCGACUGGAAACCCUAGGGUAAAGCAGAGAGACAUAGUCCCAGCAUUCAAAGAGGUUAAUUUUAGGGAAUCCAAAAACCAGUAAACAAACAAAUAAAACAUGUAUGAAUUUUGAUGAAAGUUUUGAAGGAAAGAAAAGGAGGCUAAAAUAAAGAAUAAGAAGUUAUUAUUGAUUACUCUCAGUGAUCAGGGUGAUCAGGGAAGGCCACCUGUCUGCAGUAGGAAAGGAAGGAGAAUAUCCUUCCAGGACAGGGAACAGCACCUGGAGGCAACUUUGAAGAAGAAAGGGAGAAAGGGGCCUGGAGCCUGGUGAGGCAGGGGCAAACUGGAGUUUCAACUUUUUAAUUACAAGAUCUUCACAGAUGCUUCCGUGAAGGAGGGAGGAUACAAGAGGAGGAGAGUGCAAUACUGUAAACUUUGAAUAACACCAUGGAACCCAUACCAAGUGCCACAAGUGAUCCUGGAAGUGCUCCCAAGAAGCAGAGAAAAGUCAUGACAUUACAAGAAAAAGUUAAAUUGCUUGAUAUGUACCAUAGAUUGAUGUCUGCAGCUGCGGUUGCCAUCAUUUUAGAUGGACGAUUCAUCUUGUAAACAGAUGAGGCAAACUUACAGCAUCAAUAAAUACAGUACAGUGCUGCAAAUAUA